rnacentral:misc_RNA from 1 species
ACACCUCAACUCCUCAUGGUUUUGCCAUGAUGAGCUUGGACUUUGGGGGUCUUGCUGGCCUAUGGUCAGCUCCUCUCAAAUGGAUCAGCUUGCCAGUGUUUGGUGGCAUCACAGGUGUGAUAAAUAUCUACGCUUGUGGUUUUCCGCCAUAUAACCUUUAGCAAUGAAGGUUCGCUGCAGCUCACAAACGUCUCUCCUCCGUGAGGACAGCUUUUCAAAU